UUUUUACCUAUCACAGCAGAAGUCGAUGGUGAAACGUAACGUUAUUUUCAACAGCCCCGGACACACCGGCCAUAAGAUUUUUUCAUAACAGUGCAUUUAGUAAUUAUAAGGAUAUCAUCAUCGCACAAAGUAUAUUAACAUUCAUAACACAAGAAACACCUUAUAGCUUUGUUAGGUGGAUGACCUUCUCGAUGUGGCUGAUACCAGUACGUGUGUCCUUACGUAGAAAAUAAAAUUCCACCAUGACGCCACGUGAAAAUGAUAUGAUGGUGUGUUUGUCCCGUAGGGAAGACGUAAUGUAAACAAAACUGACACCAGCAGGGGCGGGAACGUGAACAGUGCCACGCCUGACACCUCAAACCACGGGUAAACCUUGGAGGCACUCGACCUGCAGGAGACACCAUCGGGGGACACAAAUUCAUUCAAGAUGCUGGGCGAGAGGAAGGAUGCCGACUGCUACUUCUACUAUUACUCCUCCUGCUCUAAGGGUGACGGCUGCCCUUUCCACCACGAGCCCGCGGCCCUUCGCAACGAGACAGUCUGCCAUUACUGGAAGGCGGGCAAGUGCGCCAAGGACAAGUGCAUUUUCCGACACAUGGAGGUCAACGCUUGUCCCUCACACAAGCAGCCUUCUGAUGACCCUGUGGAAGGAGACUCAAGCCAAGCAUCACUUGAAGUCAUACGGCCCCUAAACCGACCUUUCUAGGGACCCACAAUUCUCGGGUUAACACGGCCCUGGGUCUGUAAGGUCAGGUCAGGGAAGGAGCUGAGAUGAGACCAGACUCAGCCCUCCAGUGAGCCCAGGAGACCACCAGGGGGACACCCCACACACCUCAUGGCUUGGGGGAAAAUGCAUGAAGGUAGUGGGUGAGUGAAGCAACGCACCCCCUGUGUAUGCUCAGGCCCCAGGCUACGUCAGGUCAGGGGCUGCCUCAAGAACAGGUCAUUUCUCUCCACACUUUCCUCUAUUUUUCUCCUGUUUCCUCCACUUCCUCCUCCUUUCCUCCUAUGCCAGAAAAUUGCUUAAUCUUUCCUCUUCCUCCUCCCAUCUUCCGCUUCUUCCUCCUCCUCUUCGUUCCUCUCCUAUCUCCACUUUUACCAAGGUCUGUGCCUUUCUCCGGCAUAAUUUUGGUGAUUUCGUUCAUAUCCUCCUCCAAGUUCAACUCCAUUUCUCUCCCAUUUCCUUCCUUUCUUCCUCCUUUCCUCCUUUACCAAAAAAUAGCUUAAUCUUUCCUCUUCCUCCUCCUGUUUUCCUCUUCCUCCUCUUCCUCUUGGCUUCCCUGUUAUCUCCACUUUUAUCAAGGUCUGUGUAUUUCUCCAGCGAAAUUUUGGUGGUUUUGUUCAUUUCCUCCUCCAAGUUCAAGUUCAUUUUUCUCCCUUUUCUCUCCUCUCUUCCUCCUUUCCUCCUAUACCAAAAAAUAGCUUAAUCUUUCCUCUUCCUGUCUUCCUCUUCCUCCUCCUCUCCAUUCCCCUCCUAUCUCCACUUUUAUCAAGGUCUGUGUAUUUCUCCAACGUAAUUUUGAUGGUUUCGUUAUUUCCUCCUCCAAGUUCAAGUCCAUUUUCCUCCACUUUCCUCCACCUCUUCCUCCUUUCCUCUCUUACUAAAAAAUAGCUUAAUAUUUUCUCUUCCUCCUCCUGUCUUCCUCUUCCUCCUCUUCCUCUCCAUUUCCCGGUUAUCUCCACUUUUAUCAAGGUCUGUGUAUUUCUCCAGCAUAAUUUUGGUGGUUUUGUUCAUUUCCUCCUCCAAGUUCAAAUCCAUUUUCCUCCACU